rnacentral:rRNA from 1 species
GAUGAACGCUGGCGGCGUGCCUAAUACAUGCAAGUCGAGCGAACGGACGAGAAGCUUGCUUCUCUGAUGUUAGCGGCGGACGGGUGAGUAACACGUGGAUAACCUACCUAUAAGACUGGGAUAAAUUCGGGAAAACGUAGCUAAUACCGGAUAAUAUUUUGAACCGCAUGGUUCAAAAGUGAAAGACGAUCUUGCUGUCACUUAUAGAUGGAUCCGCGCUGCAUUAGCUAGUUGGUAAGGUAACGGCUUACCAAGGCAACGAUGCAUAGCCGACCUGAGAGGGUGAUCGGCCACACUGGAACUGAGACACGGUCCAGACUCCUACGGGAGGCAGCAGUAGGGAAUCUUCCGCAAUGGGCGAAAGCCUGACGGAGCAACGCCGCGUGAGUGAUGAAGGUCUUCGGAUCGUAAAACUCUGUUAUUAGGGAAGAACAUAUGUGUAAGUAACUGUGCACAUCUUGACGGUACCUAAUCAGAAAGCCACGGCUAACUACGUG